rnacentral:rRNA from 1 species
UGCAAAUCAAUUUAAAUUGAUAUUAUAAUUUAUUUAUUAAUAGAUUUUUAUUAUAAUUUUAAUUUUAUUAAAAAUAAUUAUAUAAUUUAUUUGUUUUAGUAAUUUUUAAUGAAAAAAUAAUUUUUAUAAUAGUUUAUUUGUAUUGUGAAAGAUAGUUGAAAUAUUUUGAAAAAUUUUUAUAAAAAAAGAAAAAUUUUUUUUUUGUACCUUGUGUAUCAGGGUUUAUUAAAUAAUUAAUAAUAAUUUUAUUAUUUUCGAUUUUAUAAGAGUUAAUAAUUUACUAAAUUUAGUGUAUUAAAAUUAUUUUUAAUAAGUUAUUAGAAAUGAAAUGUUAUUCGUUUAUAAAGGUAUCUAGUUUUUUUUAGAAAUAAAUUUAAUUUAUAAAUUUUUAAUUUUUUUAUUUUUUAUAAAAUAGAAAAAAAUAUUAAUUUAGAUAUUUUAAGGGAUAAGCUUUAAAAUAAAUUAUUAUAAUUUAUUAAAUUAUUAUUUAAAAUAUAUGCUUAGAAUUAGCAAUUAUUUAUAAUAUUGUUAUAAAUUAUUUUAUUAAUAUAAUAUUUAAUUAAUUUUAAUAUUUUUAUAAAAAUUUUUUUUUUAAUUUAUAUUAAAAAGUAUUAAUGAUAAAAUUAGUAUAUUAUUUAUAUGUAAUAAAUAAAUUUAUUUGAUAAGUUUAUAUAAAGAACUCGGCAAAUAUUAUACUCGCCUGUUUAACAAAAACAUGUCUUUUUGAGUUAUUUUUAAAGUCUAACCUGCCCAAUGAAAAAUUUUUAAUGGCCGCAGUAUUCUAACUGUGCAAAGGUAGCAUAAUCAUUAGUCUUUUAAUUGAAGGCUUGUAUGAAUGGUUGGACGAAGUAUAAACUGUUUCAUUUAAAUUUAUAAUAGAAUUUUAUUUUUUAGUAAAAAAGCUAAAAUAUAAUUAAAAGACGAGAAGACCCUAUAAAUCUUUAUAUUAUAAUUUAUUUCUUUUUUUCUGAUUUUUUAAAAUUUAAUAAUUUAUAAUAUUUUGUUGGGGUGAUAUUAAAAUUUAAAAAACUUUUAAUUUAAUUUUUACAUUAAUUUAUGAUUUAUUGAUCCUCUAAUAAUGAUUAUAAGAAUAAGUUACUUUAGGGAUAACAGCGUAAUUUUUUUGGAGAGUUCUUAUCGAUAAAAAAGUUUGCGACCUCGAUGUUGGAUUAAGAGAUAUUUUUAGGUGUAGUUGCUUAAAUAUAAAGUCUGUUCGACUUU